rnacentral:tRNA from 1 species
GGUACUGUGGCCGAGUGGUUAAGGCGCUGUGUUCAGGUGCGGAUUGCUACCUCAGAACCGCAGUCUUCGGGCGCGGGUUCGAAUCCCGUCGGUGCCA